rnacentral:sRNA from 1 species
CUAUGGGGUCGUCCUGUGGGCCAGUGGCCGCAUGACGCUUCCGGGAGGUCGGUGUGACCCAGCGGAUUGUCCCUGUGUCAGGGCU